ACGCUCGACACCUACGGGAGGCAGCAGUGGGGAAUAUUGCACAAUGGGGGAAACUCUGAUGCAGCGACGCCGCGUGAGUGAAGAAGUAUUUCGGUAUGUAAAGCUCUAUCAGCAGGGAAGAAGAUGACGGUACCUGAGUAAGAAGCCCGGCUAACUACGUGUCAGCAGCCGCGGUAAUCUGAGCGGGCUGGCAAGGC
rnacentral:rRNA from 1 species